AAGGCAAAGCCUUCUCGCCAUGGCCUGGGCUCUGUUUUCCCUUGCACUUCUGAAUUACUGUUUAGGGGUCAGUUCUCAGAGUGUGACUCAGCCUGCCUCUGCGUCUGCGUCCCUGGGCCAGACCGUGAAACUCUCCUGCACAAAAAGCGGUGGCGGCAGCUGGUACGACUGUAGUUGGUACCAGCAGAAACCUGGUCAAGCCCCUCGCUUCGUGUGGUACAGCAGCAGCACCAGGGGAGACGGGAUCCCGGAUCGGUUCUCCGGCUCCACCUCUGGGGACAAUGGGCAUUUAACUAUCACCAACGUCCAAGCUGAAGACGAGGCAGAUUAUUACUGUGCCAGGUGGCAUUACACUGGUAGCAAGUAUCACAGUGGUACUGUCUAA